UUAUCCAGAUUCAUGGGUGUAAAGGACGCGUACGCGGGCCGGCAAGUCAGAUGUGAAAUCUGGAGGCUCACCUCCAAAACUGCAUUAGAAACUGUGCGUCUUGAGUACCCGGAUAGGUAUGCGGAAUUCCGUGUGUAGCGGUGAAAUGCGUAGAUAUAAGGAAGAACACCAGUGGCGAAGGCGGAUAACUGGACGGCAACUGACGUUGAUGCUCGAUAGCGUGGGUAUCAAACAGGAUUAGAUACCCUGGUAGUCCACGCUGUAAACGAUGGAUACUACGUGUGCGGGGACUGACCCCCUGCGUGCCGCGAUUAACUCAAUAAGUAUCCCACCUGGGGAGUACGAUCGCAAGGUUGAAACUCAAAGGAAUUGACGGG
rnacentral:rRNA from 1 species